rnacentral:rRNA from 1 species
AGAGUUUGAUCAUGGCUCAGGAUGAACGCUAGCGGCAGGCUUAACACAUGCAAGUCGAGGGGUAUAGGUUUUCGGACCUAGAGACCGGCGCACGGGUGCGUAACGCGUAUGCAAUCUACCUUUUACAGAGGGAUAGCCCAGAGAAAUUUGGAUUAAUACCUCAUAGUAUUAUUGAAUGGCAUCAUUUAAUAAUUAAAGUCACAACGGUAAAAGAUGAGCAUGCGUCCCAUUAGCUUGUUGGUAAGGUAACGGCUUACCAAGGCAACGAUGGGUAGGGGUCCUGAGAGGGAGAUCCCCCACACUGGUACUGAGACACGGACCAGACUCCUACGGGAGGCAGCAGUGAGGAAUAUUGGUCAAUGGGCGCAAGCCUGAACCAGCCAUGCCGCGUGCAGGAUGAAGCAUCUAUGGUGUGUAAACUGCUUUUGUACGAGAAGAAACACUCCUACGUGUAGGAGCUUGACGGUAUCGUAAGAAUAAGAACCGGCUAACUCCGUGCCAGCAGCCGCGGUAAUACGGAGGGUCCAAGCGUUAUCCGGAAUCAUUGGGUUUAAAGGGUCCGUAGGCGGUUUUGUAAGUCAGUGGUGAAAGCCCAUCGCUCAACGGUGGAACGGCCAUUGAUACUGCAAGACUUGAAUUAUUGGGAAGUAACUAGAAUAUGUAGUGUAGCGGUGAAAUGCUUAGAGAUUACAUGGAAUACCAAUUGCGAAGGCAGGUUACUACCAAUAUAUUGACGCUGAUGGACGAAAGCGUGGGGAGCGAACAGGAUUAGAUACCCUAGUAGUCC